UACGAAGGGGGCAAGCGUUGUUCGGAAUUAUUGGGCGUAAAGGGCGCGUAGGCGGCUUAUCAAGUCAGGCGUGAAAUUCCCGGGCUCAACCUGGGGGCUGCGCUUGAUACUGAUUGGCUUGAAUGCGGGAGAGGAUAGUGGAAUUCCCAGUGUAGAGGUGAAAUUCGUAGAUAUUGGGAAGAACACCGGUGGCGAAGGCGGCUAUCUGGCCCGUAAUUGACGCUGAGGCGCGAAAGCGUGGGGAGCAAACAGG
rnacentral:rRNA from 1 species